UACGUAGGGGGCAAGCGUUGUCCGGAUUUAUUGGGCGUAAAGAGCGUGUAGGCGGCCAUACAGGUCAGCUGUGAAAACUCGAGGCUCAACCUCGAGACGUCGGUUGAAACCGUAUGGCUAGAGUCCGGAAGAGGAGACUGGAAUUCCUGGUGUAGCGGUGAAAUGCGCAGAUAUCAGGAAGACACCCGUGGCUAAGGCGGCUCUCUAGUACGGUACUGACGCUGAGACGCGAAGCGUGGGGAGCGAACAGG
rnacentral:rRNA from 1 species